rnacentral:rRNA from 1 species
UUAAACUGAAGAGUUUGAUCAUGGCUCAGAUUGAACGCUGGCGGCAGGCUUAACACAUGCAAGUCGAGCGGAAACGAUGAUAGCUUGCUAUCAGGCGUCGAGCGGCGGACGGGUGAGUAACGCGUAGAAAUCUACCUAGUAGUGGGGAACAACCUGUGGAAACGCAGGCUAAUACCGCAUACGUCCUACGGGAGAAAGGGGGCCUCUUCUUGAAAGCUCUCGCUAUUAGAUGAGUCUGCGUCGGAUUAGCUAGUUGGUGGGGUAAAGGCUCACCAAGGCGACGAUCCGUAGCUGGUCUGAGAGGAUGAUCAGCCACACUGGGACUGAGACACGGCCCAGACUCCUACGGGAGGCAGCAGUGGGGA